CCUCGGCCUCCCAAAGUUCUGGGAUUAUAGGCGUGAGACGCUGUGCCUGGCAGUCUACAGGUAAAUUCAAUUAAACUGAAUUUGAGAUUUUAAAAGGGUACAGCUAUGACUUAUCAUUAUCCUCAAGGCCAGUUUUACUGGGAAUCAAAAUUGAGGUAUGGCAAUUGAUGUGUAUGUGUUGUUCAAAAGCAAUGGAACGUUGAGUUGGGGCGACAGUACGUGAAAUAAUGAUGUACGAAUGAUGACAAUGUCAGCAAAAGCAGAUAUUAGUUCAGUACUUACUAUGCAACAGACACGGUUUAAAACUCUAUUUUUCUUAUUUCUUUUUAUUUUAAAUAUUUAGUAAUAUUUAAAAAUACUAUGUAUUUUUAUAUGUAAAUAUGUACAUAUUUAAAUAUGUAAUAAUUUUCAUGCAGACAUAUAGAAGGAGGGAGUCCGGUUAGAUGAAGGCUAAAGCUUCAUCUGUCUCAAAACCAGAGUGGAAGUUGAACAGUGCCUUGCUCUGGGAAGCUCCGGGUGUUCCUAGAUGAUGGCUGCAUCUUGCAUGCUGCUAACAUCUGACCUAAAGGAGACUGAAAGAUAAGAUGAGAAUGAUUGAAAGAAGCCCAACUGUAUUAAUCAUUUAUUUCUGCCUAUCAAAUUUGUCCAAAACUUAGCAGCUUAAAACAAACAAGAUUUAUUUCCUCACACUGUCUGAGGGUCAGGAAUCCAAGAGCAUUGUGGCUUGGUGGUCCUGGCUCCAUGUUUCUCACAAAGUUGCAGUCAGACGUCAGCUGAGGCUACAGUCAUCUCGAGGCUCUGCUGGGGCUGAUGGAUUCACUGCCAAGUUUACUCACAUGGCUGUUGGCUGGAGGCCUCAGUUCUUUGCCAUGUGGCUCUCUUUACAGGGCUACCUGGUUUCUGCCUGAGCAGCAAGUGAUGAAGGAGUGUGAGCCUAUGAGAGAGCAAGAGAGUGAGCCCAAUCGUGGACUGACCACACAAUUGACCCUGGUUUACUGUGAGAAAGGACACAGGCUAUGAGCACCAGGAGGUGGGGAUCAUUGGACGCCAUCUUGGAGGCUGGCUACCUCACCAUCAUCUUAGAUUCCAUGAUUUCUCGGCAAUGGAAGGAUGACAGGAUGUAUUUCCCAGAUUUCAGGAAUUCAGGCUUCUGAUGGUCCCCAAGAAAUCAGAGGACAUGAGACUCCAAAAAGAAGAGAGAUGGCUCAAGAAGAAAAUCAAGAAAGGAACUUCUCUAUGGCUUCUGUGGAGUCAACUCUUCCUGACUGCCUGACUGCCGCGAGGUACCAGGGAUCUUGGAAGCCCCAUGUUAAAGGUGGCAGAGCAACAAAAAUUGAGGAAGCCCUGAAUCCCUGAACUAUUAUUUGGAGAUGACCACCCACUGAUCCAGAACACUCAUUAUUGGGCUUUAGGAGAAUGAGAAAUUCUGUCAUGCUUGAGACUCCGUACAUCUUUGGAUUUGUUUUAACUGCUAGUUUUACCCUGACUAACAUGGCAAUUGACAGCCUCUGAGAGGAGAUUUGGAGAAUCUGCUUUUUAAACAAGUACCCCAGGGGAGUUUGAGAAUCACUGCUGAAAGCCAAGGGGAGCCAGUCACCCAAGGAUUUAACGCUGACCAAGGAACACCACGCUAUUUGCAUUUUAGAAUGACAGCAAGGGAGCAGAACUCUGCUCCCUUCUUCUUUGCCAAGGAGAACAAUCUAUUGACUCAAAAGAAAAAGAAACUUUGGUAAGAGAAAAUUGAAGCUCUAGAUGAGUAAAAAGAUUCUAACAGUACCAAGCUGCCGUAAAUGAGCUCAAGUCUCUUGGCCAGGACAAAUUACACUCCAGGGAGUAGAGAGAACUCGCCUCUGAAGCUGUAAAGCCUCUGCUGAUAAUCUUUACAGAACAUGGAGACUGUGAAAGAAAUUGGAACGCUAGAGAUGGCAAAAUAUAGCUCUGAUUAGUAAAGAGGGGGAAAGCUCCUGCAAACUACAGAAGUGGGGCUCUCCUAUCCAUCCUCAUUAAGUUCUCUGAUCAGACUACUUAAGGCUGACUUGUGAGCACGUGAAAAAUGGAGCAGAAUCCUCUAGAAGCCUGUGUGGGUUCUUUAAGAGCAAGCCACGACAAGGUAACUGUGUUCCCAGUUUCGUGGUGGGCUUGCUAGAUUAUUUUGUCAGGGAAUUGUGUUAGCUAUGGUAGAGACAAAGCACACCUCGGCUUGUCUGUCUGUCAAGGAAUCUCAUGAUAAAUUUGUGCAUGAGAUGAAGUAAUUUCAGCUGCAGACCAGCAUGCCUGUUAGGUGGAUUUAGAACUGUUUUUAUGGCCAUUCCCAAAGAUGCUAGUCAAUGUCCUUGCGGAAGUGCAUUUCUAGUUGAAGGCACAGUCAUUUUCGCAUUUGAUAUUUUUAUUAGUGUGUGGACAUAGAUGACUUAGUUAAUACCUGACACAUUUGGAGACGACAUGCAGAGAAUACUUUGGUUGACACACCAGGGCCCAAAGAACAGACUACAGUGCUAAGCUAAAUGUAAUGAUAUAAGAUGAAACAGGGAAACGGUAGGGUGAGAUGCUCCCGUUCAAACAGUCCCUGUGUGAGUGCAGGGCCAAGAGGCAAAAGCAUCUGGCAGAGAGAAAAAAAAAACAAAAAACAAGAAUCUCAGCUGACAGUAACAUGGCACAUUGUUUAGCUGCUCUAAGCCCAUUGUGGUCUUGGGUUGAAUUGAGGGAAGCAUGAAAGAGAUGCUCUUGACACCUGGAAUGUGGCAUUUGGUGGUGAGUUCCCCUUUGUGAGAUGCCCUAGAGUGUGGAGACGAAGAUGAGCGAUGUGUCUCGGGGAGGGAGCUCUGAAUCCUGUCAUCUGAGAAACAUUUAAGGAACUGGAAGAGGUCAGUCUGAAGGUAAGAAAACUCAGAGUUUAGGUAUGAAGCCUCUGGGGUUAGCUGAGACCUGCAUGCAAUGAUCCGAAGGCACGUCAUUAGCAGAGGGGCCCUGGUUUUGGGAAAGGCCUAGCAGGCAAACUUCAGGUCCACCCCAGAGUGACCCUUCUGUACCCAUCUCACAGCUUCCUGAAACAGAGGAGCUUCUCGGGGUGAGAGCGCCUGUCAGUGGAGAUGACCGAGUGGAGAGAAGAAAGUCCCUUGGAAGAGCUGAAGGCCUCUGAGGGGUGUUUAGUCACAAAGGAAUCAUUAAUGUCCCUCCAGGUAUUAGUAGCUACUAGCACUGGCUGCCCUUGGAGACAUCUUAGAAUGUGCUGGGCACUGUGCUAAAGUAGGCUUAAAGCCCCGUGUAGUUUUCUUUUGCUUCUGUAGCAAAUUACCCCAAAAUCUGUGGCUUAAAGCAACAUAUAUGGAUUAUCUUACAGUUCUGGAAACCAGAGGCCAAAAUCGAGGAAUCUGCAGGGCUGUGUUCCUUCAGGAGGCUCUAGGAGGCUUCCCUUGCGUUUUCCAGCUGCCAGGAGCUGCCUGCACUCCUUGGCUCUUGGCUCCUUCCUCUGUCUUCAAGGCCAGCAGCAAAGUGUCUUUAACUCUUUCUCUGACCUCUCUUCUGCCAUGGCAUUGCUAUCUCUGACUCCGAACUGCCUGCCUCCUUCUCAGAAGGACCCUUGUGAUUAUGCUAGGUCCACCCAGAUAGUCUAGGUCCCUCUCUUCAUUUAAGCAAAUCUGUGAAGUUCCUUUUGCCAUAUAAGGUAACAAUAUGCUCAGCUUUGGGGAAUGAGGAAGACAACAUCUUCGAGGGGCUGGUAUUCUGUCUACCGCAAGUCCUUUGAAGUUCUUCACUUCCAUUCAUUUAAUCUCUCAUUACCUUGAAGAGUUGGGCAUCAUUUCCACUGCACAAAUAGAGAAACAGAGACACAGAGAAGUUAGGUAAACACACAGCAUUGCCAUAAAAUGGUGAGACUGGGAUUUGAAUCUGGUUGUAACUCUCAAAGCCAGACCCUUAACCACUCAGAUGCUAUACUGUGUGUGUUAUUAUUAUUAUUAUUAGAGUCUAUAACUCUAAGCACUAAUAAUUACUUUUCUUUAAUGGUGUUAAUUUAGUGGUGACAUUAUUGCAGCUUGUGUUUUUCCAAAAUGUAACAUAAGUUAGACACUUCUGGCUAAUAUGAAAUAUAACUGACCUCCCCCUGUUCUGUCCUUAGCAUCCUCAGCUAACAGCUUUCUCCCCUCCUGGAUUUUGUCACCUUGGGCCUUCUCAGCUACAGGAGUUUGAAGCAGUGUUAUUUUCUGAAUUUGGAUCUGACAAUCUUUGUAGACUAAAGGUUACACAGCUGCUAAAGUUUGUUUUUAACCCAAAGUAACAGAGUUGUCAGGGAGAAUGUAAAAAGAUUCUAGAAAUGCAGGUUAAAAACCUACUGAUUCUUCCAGGCAGCAGGAACAGCUCUGUGAUUAUGGCAUUUAGGCCCUGGGCAGGCAUAGAAAAGCACAGAUCCGGUUGAAGCCCCCACUCCUCCUGGAGCUUAGGAGGGCCUAUGGAGGUGGGCAGUGAGCAAGUGGCUGGGACAGUGAGUGUGUCCCAUCUCUUCUGUGGUCGUCCUUCCAGGGUGCCCAGCCUUGGCCAUUUGGAACCACAGAGUACCAUCCACCCUCCAGCUGAGGCACAAUUCUCUCCGUGCUGGGCUGGACUGGGCUGGGCCCUGGGUCCAAGUUGAGCUGGAUGUGGGCUGCUCAAAGCCUGUUGGACAGAGCCUCAGGCACAGGUGGAGGGGCCGCUGUGAUGCCAGGAAGAGGUUGCCACUCUAGCAGGUGGACGAAAGGGUCCACAGGACGCAGGACAGGCUUGCCUGAGGUUGGGGGCUCUGCACUGACUGUGAUGCAAGGAAUGGCUGGAUGGCUGGAGAAAAGGGGAAGGGCCUCCUGUCCACUGGAUUCAGAUCCUAUUCAACUGCAGGGACCACGCUGACCCUCCUGACUGAUGCUUCCUCUAUGGGCCACGCGGCAGUGCCAUGGCCUCUUUUAUCAGGUCUAUGUUAUAGGUUUGGUAUUGAUGGAGCACCUGGAUUCUAGAAAGGAAGGAAAUGAACAUUUUUGAACCUAUUCUUUUUGCCAGGCACUGGACCAGGAAGGAGAAAAAUGGGGCCCUUUCUGGCCAGGUGCUUUCACUGACUCCAGGUACGAGGAAGAAUACAAUAUGAUUCCUGUCCUCAGAGAUGGAAAAGUUUGCAUGCCUGUGGAUACUAGCCUUUACACAGACAACAUAAGGACUGAACAGCGUGGUAAUUAAUGAAGAUGAAAGAAGUAAAAAGAGUAACAAGUAAUAAGUGAGAAUAAGUAUUAAACUAAGUACUGACUUUGGGAGUACCCAGGCUCCAUUUUUAUGCCAAAUCUCUGGUGUUAAGGCAUAAGAGAUGCUGUGUCCCCUAAAAGGGGAUAUGUUCUAAGACAUAGCACAAAACAGCAGAAAAAAUAACGUUCUGCUGCUGACUUGUGUUCAUUGUUCAACUUGUGGGCCACUAGGACUCUUGAAUCUUCUUUCCCCAUAUUUGCAUCUAAUUAACAUUUGCAUAGUUGCUGUCUUUCCCUGAAAUGUUUCUUUCUCAACACUCAGUAUUGCCAUAACAAGAUGGGGAAAUAGAGGAAAUAAUUUUUUUAAAAUGUUCAAUUGAUUUCCUUUUUUAAAAAGACACCUUUUUUGAAUUAUUACAUAUCAUAAAAUUCAUCUGUUUUGUGUGUGCAACUCAAUGAAUUUUAGUAAAUUUACAGAGGUGUGCAGCCAUCACAACCAGUUUUAAAACAUUUCCAUUACCAGAGAGAAUAAUUUAGGGGCACAAUCCAAUGAGUGUGGGCAUAUUUAACCCACUUGAGCAUGCAUUUCUGAAACUGUUGUACUUAAGAAAAUCUGUCAGCAAAUUUUGAGUUGCUUCAUGAUAUACUUUUGCAAAACAAAGUAAAAUGCAGCAGAAGGAAGGAUCUCUGUGCCUGAAAUCCUAAGAAACCAUUAUCUAUUUUGCAGAUCAUUUCAUUAAUAAACAGAUUAUUACAAAAAUAAUUAUUUUCGAGAUGACAUGUUUUCUAUUGGGACACAUAAAAAGUCUUUAAAUUUGCUCUUCAAAAAAAUCACUUACACCCACAAAACUACUUCAGUCAAGAAAGUAAAUCUAGGUAUGGGAAAACCACGGCAAAAACAGCUUUACCUUUUUGUCUUUAAAAUUUAGUGUAUUCAUUUUCGUUCGGAUUCUCUUUUCUCUCCUGAUUGUUUGGAGGAAGGAUUUCUCUGGUGAAAAGUACCCCGAUCUGAUGCCUUUGCAAAAGCAGUCACCCCUCUGGCAUGAAAGGCACCAUUCAAUCAUCCAAACUCUUAGAGGCCAAGGGUACACUGAAUAAUGAAGGCUCAAAUGGUUUCUAUUGUAUUGUAAAUACCCAUUUUAGAAAACCCAAUAGUCAGAAAGUUGAGAAUCUGUUGCUAGCUUCUCUGUUGGGUAUUCCGCUGCUUUCAUGGUGGAUCCUUCUAAUAUGGCUUCUUAGAUGGGGGUCAAAUCCCCUUCCUCCUAAAAUCCCACACCUUAUCCUCCUUAUGCUGUAGGUCAACAGAUAUAGCGAACUGUCUCUUCCCAAGCAGGAGGGGAAUCGUUCUUCCAGUCGAGUACUGGGAAAAACGUGAUCCCAGGGUCAAGCUUUUAAAGUGCUCUCAAGUUCUAUUAUAAGGAUAUGAAGCGGUAAAUAUUGUGUUGCUGUUUACUUUUAAUUAGACAGACACAGACA